CAAGAUACCCAAGCGGUAAAGGGGACGGAUUGCUAAUCCGUUAGACCUUAAAAGGUGCGAGGGUUCGAAUCCCUCUCUUG
rnacentral:tRNA from 1 species